UGGUUUUGGAGCGGAAGUGUCCUUCCAUCUUUCUGUGGACGCUGGCUGAAGAUUGCCCCUUAUGGCCUGAGAAGGACUCACGUAGAGACAGGAUGAAGAUCAUGCAGGUUGAAGGGACACUGUGGGGAGGGGGCCGGUGCGGGGUCCUGGCGGGAGAACUGAGGAGGGUUCUGUCCUGGAUUUCUCCUCCUCUCACCUGUGCCCUGAGCGCCUGAACCAGGGCGCUGCUCAGGGCCUCCACCUCCGACACAGGUGCGCGUCUCACGGAUGGGCCACUGGUCGAGAGCCCACCGAGCCCAGCGCAGAGGUUUCCUCUGCCAGAAGGGGGCGCAGUGUCCCGGGCUCCACCUGGGGUGGGCGGGGUGGCUUCUCGGCAAGGAUGUUUCUUGGCUUUGGGGGGAAAACACUGGGAGCGAAAAUCCAGCUCUCUCCUGAUUCGAGAGCUUCGAAACGAAGUCCAAAAGAAUCAUUUCCUCCCACGGAAGAAAUCCUACCUUCCCGCAAGCCGGGGGCUGGGCGCCUUAGCCGCCUGGCUUCCUCAAAGGGUUAUCAGAGCCCGAGCCAUCUGCGGAUCAAGGACCCCGGCUCUCUAUGAUUUGUUGGUAAGUGGAACUGAGGAUAUUUGGAGACUAUUAAGAAGAUGGGAAAUCACCCACCACCCACCCCACUCCUGUGCCUGAUUUCAUGAUGCUUUCUUGGGCAUUAGCAGAUUUAAAUCUGCCUUACUUCGAAGGUCGCUAAGUCAGAGGUUGAGGGUGCGUUACCUGCCAUCUGCCACAUGUAAGAUUCAGCACCUCCCGGGCCUCCGGACCACUGGGCCACCGUCUGGACAGGGUGUCAACACUCCCACCUGGCAUGAACAUCGAAGACUGGAAACUGGCCUUUCUUGACAUGUCUGGAACCAUUUCCAACUGUACACGUAUUGAUAAGGAUCUAGUGAUCAUCUUGAAAGCUAAUAGGAUGGUGAUAGUGAAAACACAAAGCAUACUUUGAAUGAAUGUCGUCGUUAUAUAAAUUAAUGAUCAGGAAUGUGAAUUCUCAAAGCAUUUGGUUUUGGUCCUAGACCGGGGCAAGAUGCAAAAUCAUCUUCCAAAGCUGUCUUUUGGCAGAGUCUUGCUCCGGAACCCAGAAUGUGACCACUCUGGUGGCUGCACAUGGAUUAUGUCACUGUCACUUUCAGCAGUUACUAUUUUAACUGGAUAGGGCUUGAGGUCUGCUUGCUGGGGAAGCGCAGCAGUGAGACGUCCUUCCCUCACCCUACUAUGGGCAGGGAUAAAUGCAUUUUAUGCCCUUUCAGCAGGGGGCGUGAUCUGCCCCAAUAAGGCGUCCUCAGCCACUGUUCCUGAGCCAUUUCCAUGACUAAGCUACUUUUGUUUCCUCUGAUUUGCAAACUUUCCCCCAGAGGUCAAGCUGGUUUAGAUACCCUGAGCCUCCCCUCUUGAGAGAAGGAGGAAAAGGAGGAAGUGAGUUCCUACUGCAAACCACACUCCACCCCAGUUUCACUUCCCUCUGGGAAUGCAAAGCAACACAGCCCUGGUGCAACCACCAGAGGGUCAGCCAGCCGGAGGGGAGGCCAGAAAGAUAGCCAAGUGAAGAGGUCACCUCCCCAAGUGUGCAGUGUGAGGUGAAGCCUGCACUUCAGUUACCCUAAAGACACAAAUCCUGUCCAAGGGCUGCUUUAUUUUGUUAUUUUUUUGUUUGUUUGUUUUCUGGUACUGGGAAUCGAACUCACGACCUUGCACUUGCCAGGCAAGCACUGUGCUGCUGGGCUAAAUCCCCAGCCCCUAAAGGCUGCUUUAACUGAGAUUAGCACUACAACAGCGAUUUUUCUCAGGAUCAUUGUCAUUCUCGGCAUGUGGCUCAAAUAAGGCAUGUAGAUAAUUGGAUAAGGGCAAAUAAGGAGGGAUCUUUUGCUUUUCCUGAGGAGGGACAAGGGACCGUGAAUUAUUUUCCUGUGCUGCCUAGCAAUAAUGUGCCAUACAUGCUAACUGAAUCAAAGUCACCUGAAAUCAAAGGAACAUCAUAAUCAGUCUUUCUCUCUGUCCCCCCAUCUCUCUUGGCAAUUACACAAGGUGGAAGUAGGUCAAUGUGCCUUGCAUCAGCAGCUAGGAGAGAGCAUUAUUUUCCCUUUAAGUAAAUUGUUUUAUUAUAGUUAGUAAACAUCUUCAGUAAUUGUUUUAUUUGGAAAGGGAUUUUCAAACUGGGGCUUGUGAAGUAAAUUUCACCCUUAAGUUUAGCUGUGAAAGCUCUUUGAGCCUGUAUUAGUUUGCUAGGGCUGCUGUAGCAAAAUACUACAGGCUGAGUGGCUGAAGCAAUGGAAAUACAUUUUCUUACAGUGGUGGAGGCAGAAGUCCAAGAUCAAGUUGUGAACAGGUUUGGCUUCUCCUGAGAUUGGUCCUGUCUUGCAGAUGGCCACCUCCUUGCUGUAUGCUCAUGUGGUCUUUCCUCUGUAUUUGUGCCUGUGUCCUAAUCUCCCCCUUUUUUAAGGACUCUGGUCAGAUUGGAUUAGAGCUCACCCUAUGAUCCAUUUUAAUUUAAUUACUUCUUUUUUUUUUUUUUUUUUGCUUUUUGAGACAGGGUCUUCCUAUGCAGUUCAGGCUAGCAUUGAGCUCACUUUGUAGCCUAGGCUGGCCUCGAACUCACAACAAUCCUCCUGCCUCAGCCUCCCCAGUGCUGGGACUACAGGCGUGCUCCACCAUGCCAACCUAAUUACUUCUUUAAAGGCUCUGCCUCAAAUACCAUCAGUCCUAUUCACAGGUACAUAUGCUGGAGGUUGUGUCUUCAACAAUACUGUGAAUUUGGAGAGGACACCACCCAGUCCAUUCCAGAGCCUGAAUUUCCUUGUUGGUGAAGCUGGAAUAAAACUUGACUUCUUGAGCUGGGGAUAUAGCUCAGCGGCACAAGCACCUGCCUGGCAAUUGCAAGGUCCUGAGUUCAAUUCCUGGUAAAAUAA
rnacentral:lncRNA from 1 species